GGACGAACGCUGGCGGCGUGCCUAACACAUGCAAGUCGAACGGAGAUACGCACUGAAUGGAUGGAGCUUGCUUUUGAAAUUCUUGUGUAUCUUAGUGGCGGACGGGUGAGUAACGCGUGAGCAACCUGCCUUUCAGAGGGGGAUAACGUUUGGAAACGAACGCUAAUACCGCAUGAGACCACGGUACUGCAUAGUACAGUGGCCAAAGGAGCAAUCCGCUGAAAGAUGGGCUCGCGUCCGAUUAGAUAGUUGGCGGGGUAACGGCCCACCAAGUCGACGAUCGGUAGCCGGACUGAGAGGUUGAACGGCCACAUUGGGACUGAGACACGGCCCAGACUCCUACGGGAGGCAGCAGUGAGGGAUAUUGGUCAAUGGGGGAAACCCUGAACCAGCAACGCCGCGUGAGGGAAGACGGUUUUCGGAUUGUAAACCUCUGUCCUCUGUGAAGAUAAUGACGGUAGCAGAGGAGGAAGCUCCGGCUAACUACGUGCCAGCAGCCGCGG
rnacentral:rRNA from 1 species